GGACAGGUGACAUGGGACAGGUGGCACCCAAUGGACAGGUGACACCUUGGGGACACCCGGACAGGUGACAGCCAAUGGACAGGUGACAUUGGACAGGUGGCACCAGCACAGGUGACACCUUGGGGACACCCAAUGGACAGGUGACAUUGGACAGGUGACAAAGGGACAGGUGGGACAGGUGACACCUUGGGGACACCAGGACAGGUGAC
rnacentral:lncRNA from 1 species